AGGUGUUAGUUCAAUUGGAAGAACGCUUGCCCACCACGCAAGAGGUUACGGGUUCGAGUCCCGUACACCUAA
rnacentral:tRNA from 1 species